UCGUGGUGUAAACUGUCUGGUUAAUUCCGAUAACGAACGAGACCUCAGCCUGCUAAAUAGUUCUCGCUGCCCUUGGCAGUUUGUGAGCUUCUUAGAGGAACUAUUCUGUGACUAACGAAUGGAAGUUUGAGGCAAUAACA
rnacentral:rRNA from 1 species